UGGUGGAGUGAUUUGUCUGGUUAAUUCCGAUAACGAACGAGACCUCAGCCUGCUAACUAGUGGAUUUAAUCAUCAGUAUGGGUGAAGUUUGAAGGCGUGAGGUGCCUUCGUGUAUCUUUCUCUUCAAAUGGAUCCUUGACGAAUUAAAUCUUUAUCAACAAAUUGGUCCUAAAAACCAAUACUUCUUAGAGGGACUAUUCGCGUCUAGUGAAUGGAAGUUUGAGGCAAUAACA
rnacentral:rRNA from 1 species